rnacentral:rRNA from 1 species
GCUUGCUAAAAAGAGUCGAGCGGACAGAUGGGAGCUUGCUCCCUGAUGUUAGCGGCGGACGGGUGAGUAACACGUGGGUAACCUGCCUGUAAGACUGGGAUAACUCCGGGAAACCGGGGCUAAUACCGGAUGGUUGUUUGAACCGCAUGGUUCAGACAUAAAAGGUGGCUUCGGCUACCACUUACAGAUGGACCCGCGGCGCAUUAGCUAGUUGGUGAGGUAACGGCUCACCAAGGCAACGAUGCGUAGCCGACCUGAGAGGGUGAUCGGCCACACUGGGACUGAGACACGGCCCAGACUCCUACGGGAGGCAGCAGUAGGGAAUCUUCCGCAAUGGACGAAAGUCUGACGGAGCAACGCCGCGUGAGUGAUGAAGGUUUUCGGAUCGUAAAGCUCUGUUGUUAGGGAAGAACAAGUGCCGUUCAAAUAGGGCGGCACCUUGACGGUACCUAACCAGAAAGCCACGGCUAACUACGUGCCAGCAGCCGCGGUAAUACGUAGGUGGCAAGCGUUGUCCGGAAUUAUUGGGCGUAAAGGGCUCGCAGGCGGUUUCUUAAGUCUGAUGUGAAAGCCCCCGGCUCAACCGGGGAGGGUCAUUGGAAACUGGGGAACUUGAGUGCAGAAGAGGAGAGUGGAAUUCCACGUGUAGCGGUGAAAUGCGUAAAGAUGUGGAGGAACACCAGUGGCGAAGGCGACUCUCUGGUCUGUAACUGACGCUGAGGAGCGAAAGCGUGAGGAGCGAACAGGAUUAGAUACCCUGGUAGUCCACGCCGUAAACAAUGAGUGCUAAGUGUUAGGAGGUUUCCGCCCCUAGUGCUGCAGCUAUCGCAUUAUUCACUCCGCCCCGCGAGUACGGGCGCGGGAGGAAUAUCAAAAGAAAUAACAAGACCCCCCCAACCUUUUGACCACAGGGUUUCUCAAACCACCGCCACAAGAUUUA